rnacentral:rRNA from 1 species
ACGGCUCAGUAACACGUCGAUAAUCUGCCCUUAGGACAGGGAUAACCUUGGGAAACUGAGGCUAAGACUGAUAGAAGAUGGAUGCUGGAAUGCACUGUUUUUGAAAGGCAACGUCUAAGGAUGAGUCGGCGGCGGAUUAGGUUGUUGGUGAGGUAAUGGCUCACCAAGCCUUAGAUCCGUACGGGCCAUGAGAGUGGUAGCCCGGAGAAGGACACUGAGAAACUGGUCCUAGCCCUACGGGGUGCAGCAGGCGCGAAAACUUUACAAUGCACGAAAGUGUGAUAAGGGAAUCCUAAGUGCUCAUGCACAGCAUGGGCUUUUGCCAAGGGUAAAUACCUUGGAGAAUAAGUGGUGGGUAAGACUGGUGCCAGCAGCCGCGGUAACCCCAGCGCCACAAGUGGGAGCCACAAUUAUUUGGCCUAAAGCGUCCGUAGCUGGCUUGGUAAAUCUUUUGUGAAAUCGAAGAGCUCAACUUUUCGGCAUGCAGGAGACACUGCCUCGCUUGAGACCGGGAGGGGUAAGGAGUAUUCCUGGGGAACCGGUAAAAUGGGAUAAUCCUAGGAAGACUACCUGUGGCGAAGGCGCCUUACCAGAACGGCUCUGACAGUGAGGGACGAAGGCUAGGGGAGCGAACCGGAUUAGAUACCCGAGUAGUCCUAGCAGUAAACGCUGUGAGUUAGGUGUUGCACCAUCCACGUGAUUGUGCAGUGUCGUAGCGAAGGCAAUAAACUCAC